rnacentral:tRNA from 1 species
GGCUCCCCUUAGUGGUUUGAGCGUUGGAUUAAGACUCUGGAGACCAGGGUUCGAGUCCCUGCUCAGCCA